GAUGAAGAACGUAGCGAAAUGCGAUACGUAAUGUGAAUUGCAAAUUCAGUGAAUCAUCGAGUCCUUGAACGCACAUUGCGCCCCCUGGUAUUCCGGGGGGCAUGCCUGUCCGAGCGUCAUUGCUGCCCUCAAGCACGGCUUGUGUGUUGGGCCCCGUCCUCCGAUCCCGGGGGACGGGCCCGAAAGGCAGCGGCGGCACCGCGUCCGGUCCUCGAGCGUAUGGGGCUUUGUCACCCGCUCUGUAGGCCCGGCCGGCGCUUGCCGAUCAACCCAAAUUUUUAUCCAGGUUGACCUCGGAUCAGGUAGGGAUACCCGCUGAACUUAAGCAUAUCAAUAAGCGGAGA
rnacentral:misc_RNA from 1 species